AGGAAAUAUAAAUACAACUUUUCAUAAUUUGGAUUCAACAUUUACACAAUAUGAAACAUCGGUACUCGAAAAUUUAGGAUUGAGAUUAUUUUCAUGUUCAUUUUGUAAAAAAUCAUUUACUCAACAACGUUAUCAGACUCGUCAUGAACUUCAUCAAUGUUUAAUGAAUCCACAAAGUGUUAAAAUGAAAGAACGCAAAUUUCAUACAUGCAGUGCUUGCGGUACAUCUUAUACGCAAAGAAAAAGUUUAAAUUUUCAUAUUCGACACGAUUGUAAUACAAUUCAUAAAUGUGAAAAAUGUGGAUCAACAUUUUUACAAUAUUCUACUCUAAAAGCACAUUUAAAUAGCAAUUGCAGUCAUUUAUAUUAAAAAAAAAAUAUAUAUAUAUAUAUAAUAAAUUGUAAUUAAAUAGAAUUUAAAUUAUUCUCAUGGAGGACAAACUACAAGGAGUUAACAACUGAUGAUAAUGAAGGAGUAAAUGAUUCUUUUUUAAAAUGUUUUUAUUGUUUAAAAAAUUUUGCAAAUGUAAAUAGUCGAAAUCAACAUAUGUUUAAUUGUUAUUCAAAAUCAUUUGAUAAAGAUAAACCGGCAAUGUUUCCUUGCGAACAAUGUCACGCUAGUUAUAUGAGUAAAGGUCGUCUACGACAACAUCAACGUCAUGAUUGUGGACGAAGUCAUAUUUGUCAAUAUUGUAAUCGUAAUUUUUCCGAAAGCAGCAGUUUAAAUAGACAUUUACGUGCUGGUAUUUGCACAAAAUUAUAUUUACAAUUGUAAAUAAUUCUAUGUAUAAAUUGUUAUAUAUAUAUUUUUUUUUGAAUUUUUUCGAAGCAUGAAAUAAGCUUUGAAAUUAUAAUUAGUUUAGAAUUUUCAUUUGACAAAAUUUCUGUUUGACACAAUUUUUAUUUGAAAAAAAAAAUUCUAAUUUACCUAAAUUUUCAUUUAGAAUUAUCAUUUUUAAUGUAAUUUCAAUUAAACGGAAUUUAAAUGACAGAAUUUUCAAUUGUCCGAACAAAAGUUCGGCGGAAUCAUUUUGACGAAAAUUAAAUUAUUAUCAUGAGUGUUUGGUUCUUAUUUUUUUAUAUUUGCCCCAAAAUCAUUCUAUUCGAUUCGAACAAAAUUUUGGUAUUUAAAAAUUCGCAAAAAAAAAGUAUUAGAAUAAUUAAUUUCCAUCAAUUUUGGAAGAUUUAAACACAAUUUAGAAUAGUUAUUUUCGUAUCAAGGGCGCAAAAUAGGUGAUUGUGGCGAAGGCGAGAUUAGAGAAACCAAGGGGACCCGAAGCGCCCGAGGCGAAGCCGAGGGAGCGUAGAGUCGCCGAGGUUUCUUCAUAAUCUCGCCUGAGACACUAUCACCUUUUGCGCCCGUGCUGCGAACAACAUUUUUUGUCCUGUCUGCAUGGAAAGUGUAUUAUUGAGUGCAUGCAAGUCCGCUUGUUUCAAUGUUCCAUCAGGGUUGGGAAGAUAAUAUACUUAAGGUAAAUUACAUGUAGUUGUUUACGUAUAUUAUGUAUGUUUAUUAUGUCACAAAAAAUGAAAACAAUACUUUUUUAAUGGUGCGGGCGCGAAUGUAUUUUGCGCCCGCUUCUAUGACGUCAGCGGGCGCGAAUGUACUUUGCGCCCGCAUCUAUGACGUCAGCGGGCGCGAAUGUACUUUGCGCCCGCUCACCCCAUCUCUGGGCGGGAAUCACUUACUUUGCGACCGCCUCAAGUGCACGAAAUAACACACUUUCCGUGCAGGUAGGACAAAAAAAAUUAUAUUGGAUCAAAAUCUUUUAUAAAAAAAUGAUUUGUUAAUAUUUUGACUUUUUAAAUUGAAUUAAGAAACAAUUAAAUGAUUUUGCCAUUUUUCUUUCAGUUCAGAAGAAAAUUACAAUUUGUAUCCAAUUUUUGUAAACAGUACUUUUAAGGGUGAAGAACCGGUGAAAUUUCAACCCAUCGAAAUUAAUGUUGUUAAAGGCUAUCAAUUUUUUUUUUUUGCAUUAUUUGGCAUCUAAAAUUAUUAUGUAUAACAAAAAAUGUUGUCCAUUUAGAAAUAUUAAAAAUUUUCAAAUUCCAUACGAUUGAUUGUUCAAAACCAUGAAAAAAGCCUCAAAAAAAAUUGUCGAUAAAAAAUAAUAAAAAUUGUGUAAGAAAUUGAAUUUUUAAGAAAUAAUCAUUUAAAUUUAAACGAAACAUAAUUGAUCUUGUUUAGAGGUAACAAUUUUUUUUUUUUUGACAUUUUCUCAUAACCUGAAAUUAUAUUCCACUAUAAAAAAUAAAAAAAACGUAAUUUUUAACAAUUUUUUUUAUUUUACAAAAAUUUUAUUUUUUGAAAAAAUUUUUUUAUUUAAUUAUUAAUGAAGUUUUUUAAUUUUUCAGAGUAUAUUAUAACUUUAAAUAAAUAUUGUCAGAAAAAAAUUUGACAAAUCUAAAUAGCAUUAAUUUCAAUAGAUUGAAAUUUUACCGGUCCCUCCCCUUAACAAAAUUAAAAAAGAAUUAAAAAAAAAUAAUUGUAAAGAAUAUUUGAAGGAGUAAAAUAAACUAUUCCGUCAAGUGGGGCUAUUAUACUCAGCGCCAGUUUUGAAUUAAUAAAGUACCUAAAAAAUGUUAAUUUUAAAAAAUUUUUACCUUUUUUAAUAAAUAUAGAUUUUAGUAAAAUUUCAAUGUUUAACUUUCAAAUUCUGAAUUUUGGUGAAGCACUGAGUAAAAAAAGUAGCGUUUUCUUGAGUAUAAUAGCCCAAAUUGACGGAAUGUAAAAAAGUUCGUUUAAGUAUUAAUUUUUUAAUAUAGAAAUUCGGAAUGGAAUGAUUAUUAAAUAAUAAUUCUAAAAUAAAUUCAAGGUAUAAUAAAUAAUUCAUGGAAAAUGAAAAUUCUAACAAAUUAAUUUUAAGAGCUCAUUCACAAGCUUCUCAUAAUUUUAUAUCGCUUUUGUAAUUGAUUAUAAGAUUUACAUGUAAUAAUUUAAAAUGAUUAUAUUAAUCAUGGAUAUAUUUAUUUACAAUAAAUAACGCGUUUUUACUAUUAUAAUCAUCUACAUUAUAAUAAAAAAUUAUUGUACUCAAUAAAGAAAAAUAAUUCACCUUUGAAA